rnacentral:lncRNA from 13 species
GACAAACCUCUCUCCAUAUUCCCCUUCCACAUUAUCUUUGGUAAACACUGUUCUACUCUCUACUUCUACAAGAUCAACCGGUUUAUUUAGAUUCUACAGAUGAAUGAGAUCAUUUGGUGUUUGUCUUUCUGUUUCUUGCUUACUUCAUGUAACAUAAUGAUAUGAUUUGGCUGUGUCAUCACCCAAAUUUCAUCUUGAAUUGUAGUUCCAAUAAUUCCCAUGUGUUGUGGGAGGGAACAAUGGAGAUAAUUGAAUCAUGAGAGGCAGUUUUUCUCAUCCUGUCUCAUGAUAGUGAAUUAGUUCCUACAGGAUCUGAUAGUUUUGUAAGUGCCCCUUCACUGGGCACUCAUUCUUCUCCUUGCUGCUGCCGUGUAAAGAAAGACGUUUUUGCUUCCCCGUCUGCCAUGAUUGUAAGUUUCUUGAGGCCUCCCCAGCCAUGCUGAAUGGGAUUGUGGUGAGCCAAGAUCGCACCAUUGCACUCCAGCCUGGGGGACAGAGUGAGACUCCAUCUCAACAACAAAAAAAAGAAAGUGAUGAUGCUUCAUUAAGAAAAUAAUGAAAGAGCUAAUGAGAUCUGGUUUGACACAAAUGUGACAAUGCAUGUGGAGAAUGAGGCAGUUGGGGACAACUGACGACCAGUACAUCAUGUUUAAAAUAAAUGGUCUUGCUCUGUUACCCAGGUUGGAAUGUAAUGAUGUGAUCAUAGCUCAGUGGAGCCUCAAUUUUCUGAGCUCAAGCAAUCCUCUCACCUCAGCCUCCCUACUCUCUGGGACUACAAGCGUGCAUCACCACAAUUGGCUCCAUUCUGCUUUUAACAAUGGUAUUACAAGAACCAACUGA